UGCCUAACACAUGCAGUCGAACGGGGUAUGAAUAAUACCUAGUGGCGAACGGGUGAGUAACGCGUGAGCAACCUGACCUUUUGAGGGGGAUAACAACCGGAAACGGUUGCUAAUACCGCAUAAGACCACGCUGUCGCAUGACAGAGGGGUCAAAGGAGCAAUCCGCAGAAGGAGGGGCUCGCGUCCCAUUAGAUAGUUGGUGAGGUAACGGCCCACCAAGUCAGCGAUGGGUAGCCGAGCUGAGAGGCUGAACGGCCACACUGGAACUGAGACACGGUCCAGACUCCUACGGGAGGCAGCAGUGGGGAAUAUUGGGCAAUGGGGGAAACCCUGACCCAGCAACGCCGCGUGAGUGAAGAAGGCCUUCGGGUUGUAAAGCUCUGUCAUUAGGGAAGAAGAAGUGACGGUACCUAAUGAGGAAGCCCCGGCUAACUACGUGCCAGCAGCCGCGGUAAUACGUAGGGGGCGAGCGUUGUCCGGAAUUACUGGGCGUAAAGGGUGCGUAGGCGGCGUGUUAAGUUGGAUGUGAAAUACCCGGGCUUAACCUGGGGGGUGCAUUCGAUACUGGCAGGCUAGAGUGCAGGAGAGGGAAGCGGAAUUCCUAGUGUAGCGGUGAAAUGCGUAGAUAUUAGGAGGAACACCAGUGGCGAAGGCGGCCUUCUGGACUGUAACUGACGCUGAUGCACGAAAGCGUGGGGAGCAAACAGGAUUAGAUACCCUGGUAGUCCACGCUGUAAACGAUGAAUACUAGGUGUAGGGGGUAUGAACUCCCCCUGUGCCGCAGCAAACGCAAUAAGUAUUCCGCCUGGGGAGUACGGCCGCAAGGUUGAAACUCAAAGGAAUUGACGGGGGCCCGCACAAGCAGCGGAGCAUGUGGUUUAAUUCGAAGCGACGCGAAGAACCCUUACCAAGGCUUGACAUCUGCCUAAACUCAUGGAAACAUGAGGUCCCUUCGGGGAGGCAAGACAGGUGGUGGCAUGGGU
rnacentral:rRNA from 1 species